UAUAUAUACUGAACAGUCUGAUAGCCAUAAACAGUGUGGAUUGGCAUCACCGAAUAAUAAUAGACAUCUCACCUUAUUUCCAUGAUUAAGGUAAAGGUUUUCCCUGACAUUCAGUCCAGUCAUGUCUGACUCUGGGGGUUGGUGCUCAUUUCCAUUUCUAAGCCGAAGAGCCGGCCGGCGUUGUCCGUAGUCACCUCCAAGGUCAUGUGGCCGGCAUGACUGCAUGGAGCACCGUUACCUUCCCGCCGGAGCGGUACCUAUUGAUCUACUCACGUUUGCAUGUUUUCCAACUUCUAGGUUGGCAGAAGCUGGAGCUAACAACAGCCGCUCACGCCGCUCCCGGGGUUUGAACCUGGGACCUUUCGGUCUGCAAGUUCAGCAGCUCAGUGCUUUAACACACUGUGCCACCGGGGCUCCUAUUUCCAUUAUUAAAAUUAACAAAUACUUUACAAGAAAUUGUUUAUGGAAGUGCAAAAAUUAUGGGGGCAGUGUUGCUGCAAGAAUGGUUUUUGUUUGCCCAGGAUUUGAAACAGAACCAAACUUCCAGUCUAAUUCUGUAUUUGUGAGGACCUUACUGCAAGAAAACAUCUUGUUUCUGCUAUCCCGAGGCAUUUCUGCAAUGUGGAAUAACAGCUAUUUCCCCUCAUGAUGACGGGAGAUACUACACAGACAAGGUAUCAUAUGAUUGCAAUGCCUUAGCAGGGCCCCCCAGUGGUGCAAUGGGUUAAACCCUUGUACUGGCAAGACUGCUGACCAACAGGUUAGUGGUUCGAAUCUGGGGAGAGUGGAUGAGCUCCCUCUGUCAGCCCAGCUCCACAUGUGGGGACAUGAGAGAAGCCUCCCACAAGGAUGGCAAAACAUCAAACAUCCGGGCGUCUCUGGGGCAAUGUUCUUGCAGAUGGCCAAUUCUCUCACACCAGAAGUGACUUGCAGUUCCUCAAGUCGCUCCUGGCACGAAAAGAAUGCCUUGGCUGUGCAAAGCUGUACUGCUUGGGUAGGGUAAUUCUGUCCUUCCGCUGUGCAACUUCCUCUCCUUUGUUUUGUUAAGUGCCAGGAUUUUUUUUUAAAGUCCAGUGAGAGGAGCAUAGAGGAUGCCAUCCCAGACCCAACAUACAAAAUCAGUUCUGGGAUCAUAGUGUGAUCAGGUCAGUAAUCCCUGAUGGCUUCAUUGUGUGGAGGUGGUGAACCAGUGAUGUGUGUUGCACAAUGGUUGUGGUACUGAUUCAACACCUCUGUGCAAUAAAGUCCUUAAAUGUUCUCUUGACAACCACAGUAGGCUAAAAAACUAAUAAAAUGAGCAAUGCUUAGGGAAGAACAGAGUUUUUUGGGAAAAAUGAUAGGUCAUCACAUAGGAUGAAGCCUAUAUAUGGCAGCUUGCUCAGGGGACGCCCGGAUGUUUUUGAUGCUUUACCAUCCUUGUGGGAGGCUUCUCUCAUGUCCCUGCAUGGAGCUGGAGCUGAUAGAGGGAGCUCAUCUGCACUCUCCCCAGGUGGGAUUCGAACCUGGCAGCUUUCAGGUCAGCAACCCAACCUUCAAGUCACGAGGCUUUUAUCCCCUAGGCCAUCGGAGGCUCCAGUGUAAAAGUAAUUUGGACUCAAUUAACUCAGGGAGAGAAAAGAGAAGAGGGCACAAUUAGGCAAAAGCAAGCUGCUGCCGCCUCUCUCAGGUGUAUGUUUUUCCUUUUGAAAGUUUUUGCUAUCUUGACCACAUUUUGAUGUUGCUUUGGCUUUUUAGCUUUCCUUGAAUAAUAGUCACAUCCUUGAUUCAUUGCAUAACUCACUCACUUGUCUGCCCACCCACCUUUCAGUCACAGUGUUUCAUUCAUUCGCUCGGUUGAUCUUCCGCCUGCCUGUUUUUCAGGCAUGGUGCUUCCUGUGGCUGAGUCCAAAAGCUCGGAUUCAGACAUGGAAAGCACUAUGUCUGAAAGGGGAUGGGUAAGUAAGCAAGUGAGUGAGCGAGUGCAUGAAGCCCCAUGCCUGAAAGGAGAUGGUAUGUAGUGGAGUAAAACACAUGGAGAGGGAAGCCUAGCUAGACUGUUUCCAACAGCUGUUCAAUAAUACAUUAUUUUUGGUACAAAAAACUGCCCUCUUUUUUCACUGCAUAAUAAUUGCACCUCUCUUUUUUCCAUCAAAAAAGGGAUAAAAAGUGUGACUAUUGUAUGCUGUAAUAUACUAUUUGGCACAUGAGGCAGAAUCUCCCAGAAACCUUUGUCAGCAGCCUUGGCAACAGAAUAAAUUAUUAUUUUGGUGCCCUUCCCUUUCACCCAAAAUCUGCACUCUGGGAUAGCUGCCUGUAAUUAAUAAAGACAAUGCAGGCUCUGGUGAUGUUGCAAUGGCAUGGCUCUACAGUUACUUUGGAGUUUUGUGUGUAUGUGUGUGAUGUGAGCCUCAGCUAGCAGAAAUCAAGGAAUCACUGAACUUGAUCAAAUGAGAAGUGGCACUAAUUGGUGGAAGCCUUGUUAAUGUUGAUACUGAGUUUUAUCAGUCCUAUUUGAAAUGGGAGCAACGAUGUAUCCAUGCCCAAUCAAUGUGUGGUAUGCAAAGAAUCGCAGUGUUAUGUAAUACAUUUUUUUUUUUAAAAAAAGUAAAUGAGAUAGUUUUUGUGUGGAAUCCAGGAGCUUUAUGGAUUAAGUAGCCUCCGUGUGCAGUGAUGUGGGUCAAAUGACAAAGCAGAAAUACAAAAGAGAGAUUGGAAGAGAAUUAUUAAAGUUUAACAAUGGAAUUGCAUAUCAUUGAUUUAGCAACACAGCAGUUUUCAUAUGACUAUGUACUCAAGCAUUUGAAAGCUUUGUGUUGCAUAAGGGAUGUGCACAGAGACAGCAUAGCAUGCUAAUUAUUCAUACAUAAAAUGUGAUCCCACAAAUGCGUAGAGUAAUGUUGGAUUUGUUGGAUUACUUAAGCUUCUAAUAUUGCAGAGAAAAAUAAUAGCCAUGGGAUAGUGGUUUAUUUUUAAAAAAAUCAAAUUAAAAAAACCAUUUAAUGCAUGCCAGACAUUUAUAAAUAGAGGCUAAUAUAAAUUGAAUGGAAACACUGGCCACUGUGCACAUUAACAAGCCAUUGUUAAGAUUGUGAAUAAAUGAAUGAUUUAAUAAGACAGCCUGUGUGCUCAGUUUGCACGCUCUCCAGUUUAUUUUGGAAAUUGUGCUGCCCAAACAGCAUAAGCAGGGGCUUGUAUCCAUGGCCUUACCAGAACACAUAUUGUGUCCACUUAGAAGCUGUUCACCAAUCGGAAAAUGUGUGUUUGUCUUCAAGUUGCUGGUCGACUUAAACUUUUCUUUAAGGGCUGUUAGCUUAUUGCAGCAGCUCAAAGGUAAAGCUCCCCCCACCAAAACACAUUGCCCCUCUUUUUAAUUGUCUUUUUUUCCUGGAAGAAUGAUGCAAUUCCAAGAGUUCACAAUCUUGCAAGACUGUGACUUCAUCUCUGUAUGAGUCUGCAUUUGUGCAGUUAAUUACUUGAGUUACUGCAUUUCAAAGUGUACAAGCACUGUUCCAACAAACAUUUAAAAUAUUAAUAGAAAGAGGGAUUUUUCCAAUUCCAAGCCUUUUCCUAAUUGAUUCUUCCUGCAAGGGGAAUGUGUAUCUUUGAUGGGCAAACCUUGUUGUGGGCUGCACAAGUGUAAUGGAUCUUGCCAACCUCCCCAAGUUGGUAUGUGGCCCACCUCGCAUGACUGGUGUGCCACCGAUUUGUAGGCAGAAUUGAUGAAUGGCCAUUUUGUAGACCUCGCUGACAGUAGCUCAAUAGAGCCAGUAGGAGGAGCCAUGGAACAUCCAUUAGUAUAGAUGCUGCCUGAUUGGCUGAAUGCAAAUGAGAUGUUGCUUAGCAGCUGAAGCUGGAUGGAGCCAAAGUGGCAGUUGGUGGAGACAGGCUGAAUAUUCUUUUUCAGUUAGUCAGGUUUUUGGAAAUUUAUUUAUUUAUUUACAGUAUUUAUAUUCCGCCCUUCUCACCCUGAAGGGGACUCAGGGCGGAUUACAAUGAACACAUAUAUGGCAAACAUUCAAUGCCAACAGACAAGCAUCAUAUAUAGACAGACACAGAGGCAUUUAACAUUUUUUUCCAGCUUCACGAUUCCGGCCACAGGGGGAGCUGUUGCUUCACUGUCCAGUAAUGGCUGUACUUCCUCAUUCCAUUCCUCGUGUUUUGCUGGCAGUUUUAUGAUGUUGUAAAUUAGUUAAAUUAGCCUCCUGUAUAAAGUGUACCUAAAUUUCCCUAAUUGACAGAUGCAACUGUCUUUCAGGGCUGCAUAGGUCAACAGCAAGCCAGGCUAUUUAAUGGUCGGGGGCUUAACCCGAUGACGGCUUCGAACUCAUGACCUCUCGGUCAGUAGUGAUUUAUUGCAGCUGGUUACUAGCCAGCUGCGCCACAGCCUGGCCCGGUGAGUUGGAAUUUGGUUUUGGAAGUCAGUUUUAGGAGUUAGUUUUGGAGAAGGGAUCUGUGUCUUAAAAAGCAGCCUCUUUGAGGGAAUAUAGUUAGAGCCUUUACCAAGGGAAAGGCUGAAGACUAAAUGGUAAUUGUCUAAGAAAUUAUUAUUUAAAUCCUGGGAGAACUGGAUUUAAAAGUAAAUUGUCCUGUUUAUGUUUCCUUGGCAAAGGAACAGAGCUACACAGAAACCACUAUACAAUUAACAUCUGAAGAGAAAAACCAUAAGCCUUUAUUGUAACCACUAAGCUUCUGCACUGUAUAAUAUUAUUGAAACCACUACGCUUAUUUACCUCACAAGUUACAAGUAAACAAACUGUUACCGUUUCUUCUCACGCAAAGUGUCACGUCUCUCUCUCUCAACAUCCCAAUAUAGAAGAAGCUCUUGAAUAAAGCAUUGGUGGUAGAAAUUGAUUGAAGUAGCGGGUGGCAGCAGAAAUAGAAAUUCCUGCAAUUCUCAUAAUUUGAGAAAAUCCACCCUAUUGUAUAUUAUUGUUGAAAACCCCUCAUCCUCUCCAUAAUGAGCAUAUACAAACUGGAACUUUUGCAAAGUGGAUGUAGAAAAUCUUGCAAACAGUAAGGAAAUGGUUGUUGUAUGUUUUCCGGGCUGUAUGGCCAUGUUCUAGAAGUAUUCUCUCCUGACGUUUUGCCCACAUCUAUGGCAGCAUCCUCAGAGGUUGUGAGGUAUGGAGAAACUCAGCAAGGAAGGUUUAUAUAUAUCUGUGGAAAGUCCAGGGUGAGGGAGAACUCUUGUCAGUUGGAGGCCAGUGUGAAUGUUGCAAUUAAUCACCCUAAUUUGCAUUGAAUGGCUUCAUCUACUGGCUACUUUCUGCCUGGGGGCAUCCUUUGUUAGCUGCCCCUAGUUCCCAUGUCUCAGAGUGUUGCUUCUUAUUUACUGUUCUGAUUUUUGAGUUUUUUUUAAUACUGGUAGCCAGAUUUUGUUCAUUUUCAUGGUUUCCUCCUUUCUGUUGAAGUUGUCCACGUGCUUGUGAAUUUCAAUGGCUUCUCUGUGUAGUCUGACAUAAUAGUUGUUGGAGUGGUCAAGCAUUUCUGUGUUCUCAAAUAAUAUACUGUGUCCAGGUCGGUUCAUCAGGUGCUGAUUUCCCUGGUUGAGUUAGUCUGCAGUGCCUUUCAUGUUCUUUGACUCGUGUUUGGGCACUGCGUUUAGUGGUUCCUAUGUAGACUUGGCCACAGCUGCAUGGUAUACGGUAGACUUCUGCAGAGAUGAGGAAAUCUCCAGAAUGGCAGAAUUACUUGAAUUAAAAAAUAUUUUUUAAAAGGAAGCAAAUGGGAUGAAAGUGGGAAGUUAUGGCUUUGCAGCCAGAGGUCCGUCCUCUUGGACUUCUCACUGCAAGUGGGAUGACCAACAGUUUGGUGAUGGAGAAGUGAAAUGUUUGAAAGUGAUGCCCAUAACAUGUCCACAAAAAAUAUGUGUAUAUCUUAAACUUGUAUUGAACAUUGCUUUGAGGUGACUUAGUGACAAUGUUUGCAAUUGUGUGCCUUUUUAUUUGUAGUUAGGGAGCUUCUAAUGUGCACUAAUGUUUUGUGAAAUAAUCUUCUAGGCGCUGAGGAAUUAAUGGAGACACAGGCGUAUGUACUUAACCAUCAAAUAAGAACCAGAGAGCAGAAGUACCAGUAUAUGCCUAGAAAGUUCUAAGAAUCAAAAUAGAAAAAGAGGAAGACGUGUCAUGGAGAAGAAUUUUUGAAAUUGGUAAGAAGACAUUGUAAUGAAGAAUGCCAGAUGUUAUUAUUAGCUUCCUUAUUAUAAAUUAGGUUCACUCUGUCCCCCAGAGAGCAAUUAAACAUGCUUUUCAGCU